GCAAAUCUUAUUGAGAAUAUAAAUGAUCAAAACUGGACAUUACAAGCUGAGGAAAAGAAAAGAACUCGAGCCCCAAGAUCCUUGAUUCAUGCUUUAUCAUUUCACAAAAGUGGUUGCAAAACCAUACUGAUAGCUAGCGACUGACUUUAGAAGCUAUGAUGUGGAAGGUUAUGAAACAACUACCAGAUGUUGAAGAUUGUGGAAGAUUGGUAAAAGUAAAAUGCUUUCACGUCUCGUUAUUAAGUUAUUGUAAUUCACACUUUGUGGUGACUAUAUUGUUAUUUGAAUUUGGACAAGUGUAUUCAAGUCAACAUAUGACUAUUAAUGAUAGUGUUAUUAUUGUUUU